CACCUGGUGGUCCAGUGGUUAGGACCCAGCACUCUCACUGCUGAGGAUCUGAGUUUGAUCUCUAGUCAGGGAA
rnacentral:tRNA from 1 species